AGUGUUGCCAUUUUCCUUUUCAGAAAAUUCAGUUAUUGGUAUAAGGCAAACUCCACAAUUUGCUGUAGUUCUGCCAGGAGGAUCUGUCAGUAUUACGUGCCAAGUCACGUCGGAAAAGGAUAUCCAUGGGGUGCAUCUACUGAGGCGUUUCAGGAAAAUAAUAUAUAUUAAUAAAACCAAUACAACCAGCAAGGAACCAGAUUACAGGCAAAGUCUGUUAUUGUCGGGGUGGAGUCGGGAUUUUACAGUGACGCUAACAAAUCUGACGACGGAUGACUCGGAUAUUUACAUGUGUGAUGCAGAUCUAAUCGGUUCAAAUGAAAAACUCUGUGGAGGUGGGACUUUUAUCUCAGUGCUUUCUGCAGCCGAAUGCCCCGGUAUAGGUAAAGAACAAUCAAGAAACGAACAUCUUGUUCCCAUCCUUGUUGCGGUUAUUGCUGCCCAGUGCGUGAUCCUUUUGCUGCUGGCAAUAUACUUGAUUUAUAAGUGGAUUCAGAAGAAAGCCCAACAAAAUCUGCCCCAGAACGCUCUAUACAUGGACAUGACACUGACCAGAAGGAACACGAUGAGCAACUCCAACGCUUACAAUACUGGGUUAUUGGCUUAGUGCACUUACCUUAUUCCUCUGAACAAUUAGAAGGGUGGGGAGAGAUAUGAAAAUGUAGUACAAACUAAAGGAAUUUAAUACAUUUAUGCAAGUUUUCUGAAUUAAACACAUUUCCAGGCCACAGAUCCCUUCUCUUCUUCUUCAGGUUUGGUAACGCACAAAAGCAGGUUCUGUUCUAUUUUUGUAGAAUGUAUAUAAAUUAAAUUGCAAAUAUUACCAGGACUACAAGGGAUUAAAAAAUCUGUACCUAUUAACAUGGAUGAUUAUGGUUCAGAAACCAUCAUACAGCAAUAGGAGAUAUAGUUAAAGGAGAAUGAAAGGUUACCUUCCAGUGAUUACAAAAGCAAAUCUCACACCCCAGACUGGUGCUCCUUUUUAGAGAAAAAAUACACUUUCCAGGGCACAAUUCCAGUAAGUGGAUAGGUGCCAUCUUGCCUCCUGCCCCAUCAAUUCCUUGUG